AGCUUGCGCCACUCUAGCCUGUGGACACCGCACGAAGGUGUCCACUGCGUCAUUGGAACUGCGCUGAGCUGCAGGAACCGAAGGAGCUGGUGAGCAGCAGAGAGCCAGAGUUCAAACUCAACUCAAGCAGUCGAGGUUGGAAGCCAUCGCUUCUGUACCCCCGACCCCAGGGUCUUCUCGGCGGGCCGUCCCCGGCCUGAGCAGCCAGGUGUCCUCUCGCUCCUCCCUUCCCCGCCCCCACAGCAUCGCUUUAUUCUCCCCAGGGCGGUUGGAAAUGCUACGUGCUUUGUGCUCCUACCUUCGUCUGCUCUCUGAAGCUGGAACGUCAGCUCCGCGGGCACAGUGCCCCUUCCCUCAGGUCCGUCUGGCCCCUUGGUGCCAGGCUCUGCCUUGCUUCCCUGCAUCUAAAUUCGUGAUGGAGGCUCAGGAAACACUUUGCUCGACUGAAAGAACUUGAAAACGGAGAAUACGGAAAUUAGGCUCUAAAGAGACUAAGACAAGAAUUCAGUGGAGGGGUAAGGACACCUUGCAAGCUCAUAUUCAGCGGCUUCAGAAACCAAAGCAAAGAGCUUGCAAGCAGUUUGAUAUUAGAACAACAGAUAAAACC
rnacentral:lncRNA from 1 species